UGUACUCCUCUUAAGCUAUCAUCUGUUGUUGGAAGGGGUGAUGUAAGGGAACUGUUGUGUCAUGGCCUGACCUCGUGAUUGAGCACCUAGUGAAGAGGUGGCUGGCCCAGGAAGUACAGGUGAAAGCAAUUCAUCUGUUCUUCUCCUGUGUCCAGAAUGAGCUCAUUUAAGCCCUAACUUCUGAAAGAAGCACAUUUUGUGGAUGAAGAUCACUUCCUGAGAAGGAGAGGUACAGCCUUUGUGGUUUUGUUGGAUGCUGACAGUAUUUCCCCAGACCUUCUGAGGAUUUGUGCAUCUGGGUGGAGCUUCAGAAGACUUUUAAUGAAGUUACAUAAUGUUUUUCUAAGAUAUCUUACAUCAUUCAGUCAAAGAAUUCUUCAAUAACUUAAACUGAAAAGCUCAGUGAAGGAAGACUGCCUUGUUCAAAAUAUUCCUGGUGAACAGGCUGUAUCCUCAAGAAAUAUGUAUCAACGUGGUGCUGCAGCACUCUGCGAGGCCAUGUUCUAGCUGGGAAACUUGUCUUGCAGUCUUCAAGUGCAGUUCAUGUGCAUAAAUUUGGUAGGUAAAAACUUCUCAGAGUGUAUUUUUACUGCUUGUUAACCAAUUCAGAAGAAGUGGUAAACACAAAAGUUCCUCUAUUAUCAGACCAUCAGAGACCUUGAACGUUAGGAGGCAUGAACUUCAGCCUGAGGGCUGGUCCCUGAGGGGUUGCUUACCUUAUGUUAAUGUAGGUUGCUUUGCCCUUUUCUUUCAGGGGACCGUUUGCAUUCUGAUGGUAGAAAAUAAAGGAUGGUGUUGAUGUCAGAGUCGUUAAUAAUUUGUCACUCAUUAUUUUAUGUAGUGAACCUGAUAUACAUCCAGUAUGCCCAGCUGUCCUGAUGCUCCAAGUGAUGCUUCUGACAGGUGGGAUUUUUGUGUCCCCCACCAGGAUCACAAAACUACGGAAUAGCUGAGGUCGGAAAGAAUCUCUGGGUCCAUCUGGUCCAAACUCUACUCAGAGUACUACUGGGCACUCGGAGCAGAGCACCCAGGCCUGUUUCCAGGCAGCUCUAAAGAUCUCCAAGGAAGAAAUGUCACAGCCUGUCUGGGAAGCCUGUGCCAGUUUUGUCAUCUUUCCCAUUAUUUGUUUGAAUCGUUUUUAAUAGAAUGCUACCUACUUGUAUUUAACAUAAUUCAGUUAGGCCAAAAAUGACAUCACUUAUUACUAGGCAUGAGUUCACAAAUAAGAAUAUGAAAUGACUGCUGAUCCAGUUUUCAUAAUCAGGUUCAAAAACAUUCAUAUAUUUUUGAUGCAAAGUGCUUACUUAUCUUUUCCCUGCUGCAGUGAAAUGUAGUUCUUAAAUGUAUUGAGAGAAGUGAAGUAUUUAUCACUAAAGAUUUCAUUAUUUCUUCCUGACAUCAAAUCAAGUUCUUUCCUCUUCAAUAGCACCAUGAAAUAAUUAAUUCUUUCCUGAAGAAAAGGGAAAAAAAUCAAAGAGUUUUACAUCUAGGCUAGCUGGAGGUUUUUACAAAGGGCUGUGCCUACUCAAAGAUCUAAGUGGAAAGAAACUUCCUGAAGGCUAAGGCUUGAGAGACUACUUUGAGGGGGAAAAAAUUAUUCCACAGAUUUAUUCUCUUUUUUUCAUUGGAUUUUGCAUAAAUAUCUGUCUUAUUUUAUUAUUCUGUUAAUUAUACUGCUGAUUAUACUAUAAAUAUAUCUAUUAUUUUCUAUAGAAAAGAUAGCAUUUGAAUUGACUCCUUUAAAUGUCACUAGUUAGAUAAAUUUUCAGGUACUGCUGAGACUUCUCAGCUCACGAGUGUAGUUUUUAAGACUGCUUCUGCAGUUAAUGGUCACAGAAAAUGAAUUUCCUUUUGUGAGGCUGUGAAUCAACAGUAAAAUGCAACUGCUGCUGGAAAAGUCCAGGCUGUGCUGUGAUGGUUUCUGAUUCUCCUGUGAGUCUUUCAAAGGAGAUGGGCAAAUUUGUGUUUGAAUAAACUAUCUAAGGAAAGAUGGAAAAGAAAUUAUUUUUAUCCAGUGUUUACAGGAUGAGCCUCUAAGAAGAAGUGCAUUGAUAGAUGGUUACUUGCUCUCUAACUUUUUAGGAAUAAAGAAUCCUAAUUAGUUGUAAUUCAACAUUUCUUUUCUACAGCAGCUAUUAAAGAAGAUUGUUCCCAAAAGAAAAGUUUAAAAAAUACAUAUAGCCUUGUCUUCUAUUUUACUGCACCCCACUAAAAAUUGAAAAGUCCAAGAAAGUAGUAGAAAAUGUGCAUUGUGGGAGGUAUUCAGAUAAUCCUCCUGCAAUCAGGAAGAGUUUGAGAUGCUGUAUGGAGCUGACCU